ensembl:lncRNA
AAAAUCCAUUUUUAUUAAUGAUUUUUGGAGGUAAAGAAAACAACAUAUUUACAUACAUGUUUACAAACAUUUGCAUAAAAUGAUUUUUUCCCUUUUUAAAAGAUUGUUUUUCAUUUGGCAAAAGAUUAAAACAUUAAAUACCAUAAGCAAUGAAACCCAGUAACAUUAUAAAUUAUUAUUUCUUCCCUUUAUCCCUUUCCCUAUGUUCAAUACACUUAAAAGUGAUCCAAACUGACACUGAUAUUUAGAAGGACAAUGAACUACAGGAGCAUGACUAAUGGUGAAACUGCCUUGUUAGGAGAUAAUGCUAAAGUUAUGACUGCUAAUUAAGAAUAUGAAACACAGUAAUUGCAUACUUACAGGGUCCUGUUUCCCUUGAUGUGUUCAUUGAAAGAAGGAGGAGAAACAGAAAGGGAGAGAGAGGGAAAAGGGGGAAGAAGAGGGUCAUGCUGGUGGGGUGUUAUUUUGGGGGGCUGGAAAGCUCCUUGGAGGGAACCAUAAAAAAGCAUCUGAGACAUCCCCUACAAUGGAAAAAAAUGCCUAACACCAUUCUUGCACACAAACUUGGGCUGCUGGAUACAUAUUAUCUCCUGAGUUCCAGUCUUCAUUAAAAAGAGGGAGGGGGGUUCAGGAUGGGGAACAAGUGUAUACCUGUGGUGGAUUCAUGUUGAUAUAUGGCAAAACCAAUACAAUAUUGUAAAGUAAUUACCCUCCAAUUAAAAUAAAUAAAUUUAUAUUUUAAAAAAAAGUCAUGGCUAAGAAUACAAGAGGAUGAAUACCUUACCUAUGACCAGAAGUCACAGGUUUUGAAAUAUCUUGAAAAAGUUUCUCCUGGGUAAAAGCAGCCUCUUCAGGCCUACAUAAGUAGGCUAUUAUCAUUGUUGUUGUUUUUAAUAUUGAGGGGGCGGGGAGAUACAAUAGAGAGAAUAGAAGGAUGGAUACAGAUCAGUAUCUUUUCUCUUUCUACCAACAUCUUUUAUCUUGGAGGCAAUGUCUUUUCAAAUGUUAGGCGAUAAUAGCAUUAUACAAUUAAACCAGUUAAUACUACUAUUGAACUACUUGGUUGUG